rnacentral:misc_RNA from 1 species
ACCUUCUUAUUGCAACAAAAGCACCUAUUCGCUGCUUUGGGCUGAACCUGAUCAUUAGCAGACACCGGAGGCACCGAUGAUGAAGAUGAUGAUUCAGAGGUCGCCACAGGCACAAAAGGAUUAGAAGACGCCGGCAUAACAGCCACCACCACAUCAUGGAUAUCAGCAAUAAUAUCCUCUUGUUUCGAUUUGAUACUGAGUGUCUUCUCCAUCGCCGCCUUGGCUGAGGC